CUACGGUGGCUGCAGUGGGGAAUAUUGGACAAUGGGCGAAAGCCUGAUCCAGCCAUGCCGCGUGUGUGAAGAAGGCCUUCGGGUUGUAAAGCACUUUCAGUGGGGAAGAAAGCCUUGGGGCUAAUACCCUCGAGGAAGGACAUCACCCACAGAAGAAGCACCGGCUAACUCCGUGCCAGCAGCCGCGGUAAUACGGAGGGUGCGAGCGUUAAUCGGAAUUACUGGGCGUAAAGCGCGCGUAGGCGGUCUGAUAAGCCGGUUGUGAAAGCCCCGGGCUCAACCUGGGAACGGCAUCCGGAACUGUCAGGCUAGAGUGCAGGAGAGGAAGGUAGAAUUCCCGGUGUAGCGGUGAAAUGCGUAGAGAUCGGGAGGAAUACCAGUGGCGAAGGCGGCCUUCUGGACUGACACUGACGCUGAGGUGCGAAAGCGUGGGUAGCAAACAGGAUUAGAUACCCGAGUAGUC
rnacentral:rRNA from 1 species